rnacentral:tRNA from 1 species
AUGCGGGAUACCGUGCGAUGGCCGAUGCCGUGGAUCUCGCACAUCUGCGAUGAGCCAUCAACCCGCGGGCGGCGCCGGUCACAGCGGCGCCCGCGGG